AGAAGUAUUUUUGUGAGUUUCAAGAGUAGCAUUAUUUGAAGUAAUUAAAUUUACCUUCGUUGUGAUGUUGCUCUCUUCUGUUUGCUUCGUUGUGAUGUUGUUCUCUUCUGUUUGUAAAAGUGCAUCUUGGCCUCUUGCCUCUUCUUCCAUGCGGAUUUUCAUUAUCAAGGUUUCAAGGGAGGUUUCCUUUUGUUUGUGGCGCAUAGUUUUUUGAAAUUCCUUCCAAGAAGGUGGAAGUUUAUCCACUAUGCCACAAACAAUAAG
rnacentral:lncRNA from 1 species